rnacentral:rRNA from 1 species
AGGACAAACGCUGGCGGCGUGCAUAACACAUGCAAGUCGAACGAGGGUAGCGAUACUCGAGUGGCGGACGGGUGAGGAACACGUGGAUGACCGACCUUUUACUGGGGAAUACCCGUGGGAAACCACGGCUAAUACCGCAUACGUUCGCGAGAAGAAAGCCUUCGGGCGGUAAGAGACGGGUCUGCGGUCGAUUAGCUAGUUGGUGCGGUAACGGCGUACCAAGGCGACGAUCGAUAGCUGGUCUGAGAGGAUGAUCAGCCACAUUGGGAUUGAGAACGGCCCAAAUCCCUACGGGGAGCAGCAGUGAGGAAUAUUCGGCAAUGGGCGCAAGCCUGACCGAGCGACGCCGCGUGGGGGAUGACGCAUUUCGGUGUGUAAACCCCUUUUCUGUGGGACGAGAAUGGACGGUACCACAGGAAUAAGUCUCGGCUAACUACGUGCCAGCAGCCGC